rnacentral:rRNA from 1 species
UACGGAAGGGGGCUAGCGUUGCUCGGAAUCACUGGGCGUAAAGCGCACGUAGGCCGAUUGUUAAGUCAGGGGUGAAAUCCUGGAGCUCAGCUCCAGAACUGCCCUUGAUACUGACGGUCUCGAGUCCGGGAGAGGUGAGUGGAACUGCGAGUGUAGAGGUGAAAUUCGUAGAUAUUCGCAAGAACACCAGUGGCGAAGGCGG